rnacentral:rRNA from 1 species
GACGAACGCUGGCGGCGUGCCUAAUACAUGCAAGUAGAACGCUGAAGAGAGGAGCUUGCCCUUCUUGGAUGAGUUGCGAACGGGUGAGUAACGCGUAGGUAACCUGCCUUGUAGCGGGGGAUAACUAUUGGAAACGAUAGCUAAUACCGCAUAACAAUGGAUGACACAUGUCAUUUAUUUGAAAGGGGCAAUUGCUCAACUACAAGAUGGACCUGCGUUGUAUUAGCUAGUAGGUGAGGUAAUGGCUCACCUAGGCGACGAUACAUAGCCGACCUGAAAGGGUGAACGGCCACGCUGGGACUGAGAAACGGCCCAGACACCUACGGGAGGCAGCAGAAGGGAAUCUUCGGCAAUGGGGGCAACCCUGACCGGGCAACGCCGCGUGAGUGAAGAAGGGUUUCGGAUCGUAAAGCUCUGUUGUAAGUCAAGAACGGGUGUGAGAGUGGAAAGUUCACACUGUGACGGUAGCUUACCAGAAGGGGACGGCUAACUACGUG